AUCAUGCCUGCGAAAUCGUGUUCCAUGAGGAAUUCGGCAAAGCUGGCGAUCGCGUCAUCAUCACGGCAGGCGUGCCCUUCGGAACGCCGGGUGCAACCAAUAUGCUGCGUAUCGCCUAUAUAGGCGCUGACGGAAAAUCCGGCAUUUAGAGCGCAUCCCGAAAAGUGUGAAACGGUUUUCGGAAAAGAUGCGCGUCAAAACAAAGGAUUAGAGCGCCGAUCUGAUUCAAU
rnacentral:misc_RNA from 1 species